rnacentral:lncRNA from 1 species
GUUGAAAUCCAGGGUGUCUACAUCCCACAGGAUUAUGGAGGGUGUAUGCAUUGUGCACUUGUCACUUAGAGACGCCUAUGGUCUGAGAAUGUUAAUUUUCCUUCGUGUCGUCGUGGUAGAGACCCAGAGAUGGCAUUUCAAGUUCCAGGAGUUAUGCAUGAACUGGCUUUCUGGAAUUAAAGGGAAGCAUGAGGAAUUUCACUGCCUUCCAGCAAUUAAAUUGCAUUCAAGAAUUCUACAGUAGCCUUGGUGGUCUGCAACGACAUUUCAGGGAUUAGAUGCUCUAUCUCCUGUCUGCAGACACAUGAGCAGAACCCAGGAUGGAAGAAUGUAAUCACCAGCGUGACUCCAGUGAUGGAGAUGAACUAGAUGUGGAGACUGGGGAGCAGCAGAGUCAACUCAGUUAUCAUCUUGGCGGCCGGGCUGCCGUCCAGCUCACAGAAGCCACCUGAUCCGGAAAAGAUUUCCAAAGCCUGCUGGAGCUGUUUCCAUACAGGCAGAGGCCAGUGUCAUCUCCAGCACCUGGGGGACAUAAGAGAAAGAGCCAGUGGCCUCCAAGACAAUCUCAGGUGAAUACGCUUGACCCAGACGAGGGAAGGAUCACACAAACUCUCCGUUGAUUGUCUUCCCACUCACAGAACCAGGCAACAAAGAAGUCUGUGGCGUCCACAGGAGGGAAACAAAGCAAAACGAAGCGCCGACCAGUGCGGUACUAUUAAUUCAAAUUAAUGACCCUCACCUACAAAUAAAGCUGGUGCCUGGCAGGUCGCUGGCUCUUGGAGAGCUGCAAUGAGAACAAACGUGGCUUUGCCGUCUGGCCAGGCAAUCGAUGCCUCCUGCCUGUCCCUGGCCGCCCCGCACCCACCUCUUACAGAUGUUACCUGUCUCCUGUUAAUUCUCCCGUGUCACUCUCCACUUCCCCGGUGGGGGUGGGGGGGGGGCGGUCAAGGGUUGACCUGGAGGGUGGGCUUAUUUCAUAAGAAAGGCCGAUUGAAAGGGCCCAGAUGCAAAGUCACACUGCUCUGCUGAGCUGGGAGGACACCCCACUGAGAGACGUGUCUGAAAUGGGUGGAGGUCUCUGGGCAUCACUGGCAGGGGUGGGUGCCUGACUGUCAUUUAGGGACAUUUCUGCCUUGAUCUGUUGCUCUUAUUUAUCUCUGCCAAAAUAAAGAUGUGUUUGAUGAUAAAGACUUCUUUUAUUCAGCCUCUCAGUUAUUCCAGCACGGUAGUUAGAGAUGAAUACAACGUUGCCCUUAAGCUACAACCUGAUCUUCACAAAAACCCUUUGAAGAAG